GUGUCCACCAAAACUCCUCCUUUGCAAUGGCAUUCACACACUGCCAGGUACCCGCCAGUCCUCUGUGCCGUGCUACUGCUCCAGUAAGUGCUAUCAGUGGGUGCGCACACAUCACUGUGCACCACCAGGCUCAGUCAGGAGUAACGGGAAGAGAUGGCUCAGAGGAAUUCUCUGGCACUCAUCCCAGAUGCAGGCCAAUUCGCAGACCUAGAAAGCCUCCCUAAUCAUUUUUUAAAUAUUGCUGCCCCGGACACUAGCUGAGGUUAAACUUGAUCUGGUGAUCUGCUUGGGGGAGAUCAGUGCCAUAGUUUGAGCCACAGCUAUGUGCAAAAAAUAUCAUAAGAAUGGGAUAAAUGUAAUGACAAGUCUUUUAUUUCUUGGCAAUGUACCUCUGGAACGGAACCCCUUGACUCAAUAAUCCAAAAUUUGCACCCCUAACCUCCCCUGGAUCCUGAUAAGGGAUGGCAAUUUCCAAGACAAUGGAGAGUUGCCUUUGAGGGCUGUGCUCAGCACAUGGAGACCAAGUAGGCUGGAUUUCUCCACACUUCAAAUACAAUUAACUCCUUUCCUCCAAGGAGAAAUUGGAGGCAGGAAGUAGCUGCUCAGGAAGCAUUGGCAGAAAAUUUCCUCUCUGGGAAAGGAAAAUUGGCCAUAUCCUGAAAGAAUUUUCAAAUGGAUUCAGUAUUUGCUGAAUGUUAUGGGCUCGAGUGUCCAGAGUCCAUCUUAUGGAAUCCAAAGUCUACUGAUGCCAUGAAAAAUGCCAAAUGUUUUUGGUGACUAAAAGAUAACAAUGACCAGGUACUUUCCCAAAUGUAGUCAAAUUCUUGCAUCUGAGUUCCGUUCAUAAUAAUAAUCAUAGAAAUGUAGGGCUGGAAGGGACGUCGAGUUAUUAUCACAUCCAGCCCCCUGUACUGAGGCAGGACCAAGCAAAUGUAGGCCAUCCCUGCCAGGUGUCUGUCCAACCUGUUCUUAAAAACCUCCAAUGACAGGGAUUUCACAACCUCCCUUAGAAGACUAUUCCCGUGCUUAACUACCCUCAUAGUUAGGAAAAACUUUCUACUGUCUAACCUAAAUCUCCCUUGCUGCAGAUUAAGUGCAUGACUUCUUGUCCUAGCUCUAGGCAAUAAUCACUGGCUCUUUUGAUCAAAUGGUCUCAAAGCACUUCACAAAGGAAAAUCAAAGUCAUCAUCUCCAUUGCAGAGAGGGGUAACUGCCGCCCACCAAACUAACUACCCCCUUGAAAGCUCAGCCGCAGCAGAAAGACAAAGCUGAUACAUCAUUGUAAAUACGUUAUUGUUCAAGCCCAUCUCUGCCACUCAACAGCCAGAAAUAAUAAAAUUAAAGCUUUCGCUGAUAAAUAGCAGUAAGCAACAAAACCUGAAGCCUGACUAUAGUCAAUGGAAAGAGUCCCACUGAUUUAAGAACUUAGAAUUUAAAAUAUAGACAUCAGUUGAUUCCCUUGUUCUGCUUUGUUCUUAUUCAUUCACCUAGCCCAAGACAAUUAUGUGCCUGCUCUGUGUAACGCAUGGAUCUCAUAUACUGCUGAUGCCCAGAUUCUGUGGGACUGCGUAUAUCUAACACAACACUGAAGACUUGUUCUUGAAACAGGAGGAGCUCGGUGUUAUCCUCUGUUGGGUUUUAUAAGCUAACAUGGUGGUGAUGAUAAAGAUACCCUCGCUGAAGAUGAGUUCUUCUACCAAUAGAAAGGGAGGGACUUGGAUGGGAGCCUGAACCAUUAAACAGUAUUUGCUUUGUGGUGAAAAGUGGAUCAGCAAUUUGCCAUUGCUGACAGUCUCAUUUUGAAACCAGCGAUGAAGAAAGUUAAGGUGAAUGAUGUGUCACUUGUACAUAGUGGGUCUGAUUCUCAUCCCAUUUGCUCUGGUGUAAUUCAGGAGGAGCUCCCAUAAAGUUAAUCCAGUUAUUAUCCUAGUCUAAAACUGACAUAAGAGGAGAAUCAAUCCCUUGGCUUCCAAUACACUUUAGUCUAUUUUAUUGGUCAUCUGUGUGAUCUCUUAAGCUGAUGGAAAAACUAAUCUAAAUUGAUUUUCAAAGAAACACUGGUAUAAAUUGAGAUUCAGGUCCCACAUUUCAGUUUUCUAAAAAUAAAGGGUGGGAGUACACAACCUAGAGAGAAUACAAAUGUUUCCACAACACGAAAAGAGAAAAGCCUAGGAAAACAGUUGUUUCAGAUGCACACACUGGUUUUCAUUGUCAGAAACGCGAACACAACUGCAUUCUGCUGGCACAUGAGAACCAGAGAGAGAGACUUGCUGGAAACUGAAAUUGACCCAGUGUAAUUUCACCCUCCAGGCUGAAUAAAAUGCAAAAAGUAAACAAACAGAAUACAUGGUGAAAAAGAAAACCCAUGGUUGAAAUUAUUUCAGUUUUUAAAAUGUAAGCUUUUGUCAUUAACUAGAGCGGAGUGGAUAAUGAAAAAACAGAUUUGCAAAUAUGUUGGUGAAUUAUACAGCCCUUUUUGGUGAGCUUGCUCUUUUCUCUGUGUUUGACCCUUAUCUUGCAAAUGUUAAUGUAUUUGCUGAAUUUGGGACAGAUUUAUCAGACUUAACUGGAGGAUGGGUAUCACAAAUAUAUACUUAAACAGUUACACGUGUUUUAACUGGUUCAUUGGAGAUCCUGCACUCCAGCCUGUCACUUUCCAGUGAGCUUCACUGUAAUCACAGUGAAUCACAAUGAAAUUCUUUUGUGUGUGGGUAGGGCACUCGCAUGGCAAACCCAAAUUCAAGUCCUUGCUCUACUUGAUUCAGAGCAGAGUUUUUCAUCCCAGACCACUAUAAAUCAAGCAGAGGAGGAACUUGAAUAUUCCACAUCUCAGGCCCUAAUCACCAAGGUAUAGUCGGUCUCUCUCUUUCUUUGACCCAAACUUUCCUGAAGAAAACGUCAUGGCGACUGAUACAUCCCUGCAAUAUGUUUCAGCUUCAAUGAAUCAGCAAUUUUACCAAAAUGUAAUUUCAGUUACAAUAUUCUGACUAGCUCUACUCAUGACACAAUAUGUCUGUCUCAUUCGGAUUAUCAUGGGAUUUCACUUCACUCUUAUGGAUUUGAUGGGUUUAGGCCUGGCCCAAUGCCUCCAUGCUCUCGCUAUUCUUAGCUGCUGGAACUCCUCUUAUUAGAAUAGCUCUGCUCUAACUUACACCAACCGCAGGCACAUAGCGGCACUGUAUAGCUACCAAGGUGACACAGAGCCACCUGUGCAACCCCUUAGGUUGUGCGCUGAGUGCAGCCUGUAGUAGGGCUGUUGUUUCAAACUGCCUAUUUGCAGGGUCAGACAGUAAUGGAGCACGUCACAUUUGCAAGGUUUUCUUUGCACACAAAUACCUACAAACUUAAUAAAAAACCCAAAGCCAUAGAUUCAUAGAUUUUACAGCCAGAAGAGACCAUUACAAUCAUCUAGAUUGACCUAUUGUACAAAAGGUCUGCUUUCCAGAAGGUCACAGCAUUUUACCCCAUGAUUUCUGCAUCAAAGCCAUAACUUUUAGAUUAGCUUUGACAAAGCGUUUAAAUUCUGCAUACUCUGACAAAGUUAACAUUUUGAAGAAACUGCUGGAGCCACUAGAAAAGUACCAGGACACUGUGCCACCACCUGCUGUAACUAAUCUAAGUGCUGCAGACAGAAAGAAUUGUUAGACACCGUAACUCACCCACUCCCGGGGAGAGGAACCAGAAACCCUGGUACAAUAUGGUUUGUAACACAGUUUUGAUUAUAUUUGUUUAGCUUUAUACACACACACAGACACUCUCUCUCUCUCUCUCUGAAUUAUAGUUAUGCUGUAAAGAUGCUUU